AAUGAAAAGUUUAUACACAAACUCGACCACUGCGUGUCUGCAAUAUCAAUACCAAUAAUAAUAAUAAUAAUAAUAAUAAUAAUAAUAAUUUGAACCCAGAAGAGACAAAGUAAAUUGUGAUAGUUAAAGUGAAGUGUUACUUUAGUUUGGAAGGAGGGAAGAAAGUUGAGGAGCAGACUGAAAAACAGGACAGAAUCAAAUAAUUAGUCUGAGGGGGGAAAUCAUAGAAUGAAAACAAAUGAAAGAGUCAGUGGUGACAGAGAGAGAGAGAGAAUGUGAAAGAGGUGAGAGGUACAGAUACCUAUUUUGGGAAAGUAGCACCAAAAACAUGAAUGCCUGUUUUUCACACUUCCCAAAAUAUCCAAAAUGGGCUUUACUGAAAAUGCAAAGUCCCCUCAACAGCCCAGCCUUAAACAAGAACCAAUACAAAAAAAUACAAGCGUUACCACGGUGACCAUUGUCACCUAGGAUACAAUGUCAUUCACAACCUUCCAACGAACUGAACUUCAGCUUUAAGUUAGCUUCAUGUCCAAAACCCCAAGAAAAAUGGAUCAUGAAAUAAUUCAUUCCUACUUCAGUAAGUGGGUCAACAACUGGACCUCCUUGUCUGUCUGUGUUCGACAGGCUUGUGUCAAACUAGCAUUUAAUAUAGCUGAGAACACAUAGCAUAUUGACUGACUGAGUAACAGACUGACCUCAGAGAACUGGAUCCCUAAUUAAGACCAAGAUAACUGCUCUCCUAUGACAAUGCCAGCUCACACACUCCAAAACACUUUCACAGGGAGGAUGGAGGGAGGUAGAUAGAGAGAGGGAGGGGGUGUAAAGUACAGGGCAGAAGAGAGGAAUGUGCUGGUAUGUUCAAGGGGGAUGGAGAAUGAGACAGGAGUGUAGAAUCUAGAUGUAGGAGCUCAGAAAGAAAAUCAGUGUUAGUGUUUGAAUGUGAUAGGCAGGGGAGCUGUAUAGAGGGAGGGGGGGGUAGGCAGGGGAGCCGUAUAGAGGGAGGGAGG
rnacentral:lncRNA from 1 species